UUUAAGAACAUUCGUCCUCGAAUGUUCAAACAUCAAACAUGCAUCAAGCAUACAUCAACAAGCAAGCAACAAGCAAGCAAAACCUAAAAACCUCUCUUCUAAAAGAGAGACACGGUCAUUACUGGAGUAUAAACUCUCUGUCUCCCCGGUGCACUUUUCAUCUUAAGGUGAUUCUAAGGGACUUUCACCAUCGGGAUUUCCCUGUUUCCACACUUUCUAACUUGUGUGUCUGCGGUCCGU
rnacentral:lncRNA from 1 species